GGGAGAGUGAUCCAGUGGUCAAAAGUGACAGACUGUAAAUUUGUUGAUGUUUUUUUACGUAGGUUCAAUUCCUGCCUCUCCCA
rnacentral:tRNA from 1 species